GGGGGUUUUCGAAGCCAAAAUGUGCGAUUUUCACUUAAAUGGGGGAUUUUCCAAACGAAAAUGCAUGAUUUUCUUUUUAGAUGGGGGAUUUUCAUAGAGAAAAGGUGAGGUUUUUGAGUUAAAUGGGGGGUUUUCCAAGAGAAAAUGCGUGAUUUUGGGGUUAAACGGGGGAUUGUUGAAGAGAAAACGCACAAUUUUUGGUUUAAACAGCAAGUUUUGUAGAGAAUAUGCAUGAUUUUCGGUUUAAAACAGAGAUUCUCAAAGAGAAAUGCAUUAUUUUUGUUUAAAUGGGGUAUUUUUGAAGGGAAAAUGCAUGAUUUUUGGGUUAAAUGGGGGAUUUUUCAAGAGAAAAUGUGUGAUUUUCAGUUAAAUCGCGGAUUCUCAAUGAGAAAAUGCCUGAUGUUUGCAUUAAAUGUGUGAUUUUCGUAGAGAUAAUGCGUGAUUUUCAGGUUACAUGGGAGAUUUUUGAAGAGAAAAUGCGUGAUUUUCGGUUAAUUGGGUGAUUUCUGCAAAGAAAAUGCAUCAUUUU
ensembl:lncRNA